AACGCACCUUGCGCUCUCGGGUUAUUCCUGGGAGCAUGUUCGUUGGAGUGUCGCGUACCUCUCAACCCCGUCCUUUUGUAAAGAAGGGAUUGCUCAGGGAUUGGAUCAUGGCGCCCUUUGCCUCUUGAUUGAUGGCAUGCGCUGAAAUGCAACAAGCUGUACCUUUGUACUGGCGGUUUGACCCGUUGUCAUAAGCUCACACUUUCAAUGGGGACGUCGGUUGGGAUGGGCUUACCACAAAUCAAUCUUAUACACUUUGACCUCCAAUCGAGCAGGACUAACCCCCUGAACUUAA
rnacentral:misc_RNA from 1 species